rnacentral:rRNA from 1 species
CGGGUCUAGUGGCGCACGGGUGCGUAACGCGUGGGAAUCUACCCUUGGGUUCGGAAUAACAGUGAGAAAUUACUGCUAAUACCGGAUAAUGUCGCAAGACCAAAGAUUUAUUGCCCAAGGAUGAGCCCGCGUAAGAUUAGCUAGUUGGUGGGGUAAAGGCCUACCAAGGCGACGAUCUUUAGCUGGUCUGAGAGGACGAUCAGCCACACUGGGACUGAGACACGGCCCAG